GAUGAACGCUAGCGGCAGGCUUAAUACAUGCAAGUCGUGGGGCAGCAUGGGGUAGCAAUACUCUGAUGGCGACCGGCAAACGGGUGCGGAACACGUACGCAACCUUCCCAAAACUGGUGAAUAGCCCUCCGAAAGGAGGAUUAAUACACCGUAACAUAACGAAGUGGCAUCACUUUGUUAUUAUAGCUCCGGCGGUUUUGGAUGGGCGUGCGCCUGAUUAGGUAGUUGGCGGGGUAACGGCCCACCAAGCCUACGAUCAGUAACUGGUGUGAGAGCACGACCAGUCACACGGGCACUGAGACACGGGCCCGACUCCUACGGGAGGCAGCAGUAAGGAAUAUUGGUCAAUGGACGCAAGUCUGAACCAGCCAUGCCGCGUGAAGGAUGAAGGUCCUCUGGAUUGUAAACUUCUUUUAUCUGGGACGAAAAAGGGCUUUCUAGCUCACUUGACGGUACCAGAGGAAUAAGCACCGGCUAACUCCGUGCCAGCAGCCGCGGUAAU
rnacentral:rRNA from 1 species